UACCAGCACCCCGAGUGGUCGGGACGAUUAUUGGGCCUAAAGCAUCCGUAGCCGGUUUUACAAGUCCUCCGUUAAAUCCAGCUGCUUAACAGAUGGGCUGCGGAGGAUACUAUAAGACUAGGAGGUAGGAGAGGCAAGCGGUACUCAGUGGGUAGGGGUAAAAUCCGUUGAUCCAUUGAAGACCACCAGUGGCGAAGGCGGCUUGCCAGAAUGCGCUCGACGGUGAGGGAUGAAAGCUGGGGGAGCAAACCGG
rnacentral:rRNA from 1 species